UCCCCCAUAGCUCAAUUGGCAGGGCAGCCGAGUGUUAAUCGGUAGGUUACUGGUUCGAGUCCCAGUGGGGGAG
rnacentral:tRNA from 1 species